CAUUAAUUUUCAACUUCACACGAAGGCAAGUUGUACAAACACAGCUGAAAACAUCAGGAAACCCAGGCAUUUUCCUUGGAGAGAUGGAGCGAACUAGUGUUCUGCUGGCAGGAGACUGACAUAUUCAAAAACUGGAAAAAUAAGGAGAAUUUCCUUGACACUUUUGACUUCGUUUACAUUGAUUCC